rnacentral:rRNA from 1 species
AUUGAACGCUGGCAGCAGGCUUAACACAUGCAAGUCGAGCGGGGGAGGUUACUUCGGUAACUGACCUAGCGGCGGACGGGUGAGUAAUGCUUAGGAAUCUGCCUAUUAGUGGGGGACAACAUUCCGAAAGGAAUGCUAAUACCGCAUACGUCCUACGGGGGAAAGCAGGGGAUCUUCGGACCUUGCGCUAAUAGAUGAGCCUAAGUCGGAUUAGCUAGUUGGUGGGGUAAAGGCCUACCAAGGCGACGAUCUGUGGCGGGUCUGAGAGGAUGAUCCGCCACACUGGGACUGAGACACGGCCCAGACUCCUACGGGAGGCAGCAGUGGGGAAUAUUGGACAAUGGGGGGAACCCUGAUCCAGCCAUGCCGCGUGUGUGAAGAAGGCCUUUUGGUUGUAAAGCACUUUAAGCGAGGAGGAGGCUCCUUUAGUUAAUACCUAAAGAGAGUGGACGUUACUCGCAGAAUAAGCACCGGCUAACUCUGUGCCAGCCGCCGCAGUAA